GGAACUGUGCCUGAACAAAGGGCCGCUUUGAUAGAGCAGAUCAUGUGGGUUUGAACCCCUCCAGCUCCU
rnacentral:tRNA from 1 species